GCGAACGCAGAGUCAACACUAAUGCAGACGGAAAAAAAUUUUUUUCACAAAGUGAGCUCCAGAUUAUCUCAGCCCAAUAUCUUCAUCCUUCAAAACAGAUGGGAUGUGUCGGAGAUGGAGGAAGACAUUGAAGCGGUCAAACAGCAGCAUAUAGAAAGAAA
rnacentral:sRNA from 1 species